AUCGAACGCUGGCGGCAGGCCUAACACAUGCAAGUCGAACGCUCGUAGCAAUACGAGAGUGGCAGACGGGUGAGUAACACGUGGGAACCUUCCCUAUGGUUCGGAAUAGCUCAGGGAAACUUGAGGUAAUACCGGAUAAGCCCUUACGGGGAAAGAUUUAUCGCCAUUGGAUGGGCCCGCGUCGGAUUAGCUAGUUGGUGAGGUAACGGCUCACCAAGGCGACGAUCCGUAGCUGGUCNGAGAGGAUGAUCAGCCACACUGGGACUGAGACACGGCCCAGACUCCUACGGGAGGCAGCAGUGGGGAAUAUUGGACAAUGGGCGCAAGCCUGAUCCAGCCAUGCCGCGUGAGUGACGAAGGCCUUAGGGUUGUAAAGCUCUUUUGGCGGGGAAGAUAAUGACGGUACCCGCAGAAUAAGCUCCGGCUAACUUCGUG
rnacentral:rRNA from 1 species